rnacentral:rRNA from 1 species
GAUGAACGCUGGCGGCGUGCUUAACACAUGCAAGUCGAACGGGAUCCAUCAGGCUUUGCUUGGUGGUGAGAGUGGCGAACGGGUGAGUAAUGCGUGACCGACCUGCCCCAUACACCGGAAUAGCUCCUGGAAACGGGUGGUAAUGCCGGAUGCUCCGACUCCUCGCAUGGGGUGUCGGGAAAGAUUUCAUCGGUAUGGGAUGGGGUCGCGUCCUAUCAGGUAGUCGGCGGGGUAACGGCCCACCGAGCCUACGACGGGUAGCCGGCCUGAGAGGGCGACCGGCCACAUUGGGACUGAGAUACGGCCCAGACUCCUACGGGAGGCAGCAGUGGGGAAUAUUGCACAAUGGGCGCAAGCCUGAUGCAGCGACGCCGCGUGCGGGAUGACGGCCUUCGGGUUGUAAACCGCUUUUGAUCGGGAGCAAGCCUUCGGGUGAGUGUACCUUUCGAAUAAGCACCGGCUAACUACGUGCCAGCAGCCGCGGUAAUACGUAGGGUGCAAGCGUUAUCCGGAAUUAUUGGGCGUAAAGGGCUCGUAGGCGGUUCGUCGCGUCCGGUGUGAAAGUCCAUCGCUUAACGGUGGAUCUGCGCCGGGUACGGGCGGGCUGGAGUGCGGUAGGGGAGACUGGAAUUCCCGGUGUAACGGUGGAAUGUGUAGAUAUCGGGAAGAACACCAAUGGCGAAGGCAGGUCUCUGGGCCGUUACUGACGCUGAGGAGCGAAAGCGUGGGGAGCGAACAGGAUUAGAUACCCUGGUAGUCCACGCCGUAAACGGUGGAUGCUGGAUGUGGGGCCCGUUCCACGGGUUCCGUGUCGGAGCUAACGCGUUAAGCAUCCCGCCUGGGGAGUACGGCCGCAAGGCUAAAACUCAAAGAAAUUGACGGGGGCCCGCACAAGCGGCGGAGCAUGCGGAUUAAUUCGAUGCAACGCGAAGAACCUUACCUGGGCUUGACAUGUUCCCGACAGCCGUAGAGAUAUGGCCUCCCUUCGGGGCGGGUUCACAGGUGGUGCAUGGUCGUCGUCAGCUCGUGUCGUGAGAUGUUGGGUUAAGUCCCGCAACGAGCGCAACCCUCGCCCUGUGUUGCCAGCACGUCAUGGUGGGAACUCACAGGGGACCGCCGGGGUCAACUCGGAGGAAGGUGGGGAUGACGUCAGAUCAUCAUGCCCCUUACGUCCAGGGCUUCACGCAUGCUACAAUGGCCGGUACAACGGGAUGCGACACGGUGACGUGGAGCGGAUCCCUGAAAACCGGUCUCAGUUCGGAUUGGAGUCUGCAACCCGACUCCAUGAAGGCGGAGUCGCUAGUAAUCGCGGAUCAGCAACGCCGCGGUGAAUGCGUUCCCGGGCCUUGUACACACCGCCCGUCAAGUCAUGAAAGUGGGUAGCACCCGAAGCCGGUGGCCUAACCCUUUGUGGAUGGAGCCGUCUAAGGUGAGACUCGUGAUUGGGACU